UACGUAGGGGGCAAGCGUUGUCCGGAAUCAUUGGGCGUAAAGCGCGUGUAGGCGGUCCGGUAAGUCCGCUGUGAAAGCCAGGGGGCUCAACCCUUGGAUGCCGGUGGAUACUGUCGGGCUUGAGUACGGAAGAGGCGAGUGGAAUUCCUGGUGUAGCAGUGAAAUGCGCAGAUAUCAGGAGGAACACCAAUUGCGAAGGCAGCUCGCUGGGACGUUACUGACGCUGAGACGCGAAAGCGUGGGGAGCAAACAGG
rnacentral:rRNA from 1 species